rnacentral:rRNA from 1 species
ACGUAGGGGGCAAGCGUUAUCCGGAUUUACUGGGUGUAAAGGGAGCGUAGACGGCGAAGCAAGUCUGAAGUGAAAACCCAGGGCUCAACCCUGGGACUGCUUUGGAAACUGUUUUGCUAGAGUGCUGGAGAGGUAAGUGGAAUUCCUAGUGUAGCGGUGAAAUGCGUAGAUAUUAGGAGGAACACCAGUGGCGAAGGCGGCUUACUGGACAGUAACUGACGUUGAGGCUCGAAAGCGUGGGGAGCAAACAG